rnacentral:rRNA from 1 species
AGUGAACGCUGGCGGCAGGCCUAACACAUGCAAGUCGAACGGCAGCACAGGAGAGCUUGCUCUCUGGGUGGCGAGUGGCGGACGGGAGAGGAAUAUAUCUGAAUCUACCCUUUCGUGGGGGAUAACGUAGGGAAACUUACGCUAAUACCGAAUACGAACUGAGGUUGAAAGCGGCGGACCGCAAGGCGUCGCGCGGCUGGAUGAGCCGAUAUCCGAUUAGGUAGUUGGCGGGGUAAAGGCCAACCAAGGCGACGAUCGGUAGCUGGUCUGAGAGGAUGAUAAGCCACACUGGAACUGAGACACGGUCCAGACUCCUACGGGAGGCAGCAGUGGGGAAUAUUGGACAAUGGGCGCAAGCCUGAUCCAGCCAUGCCGCGUGUGUGAAGAAGGCCUUCGGGUUGUAAAGCACUUUUGUUGGGAAAGAAAAGCGGUCGGUUAAUACCCGGUCGUUCUGACGGUACCCAAAGAAUAAGCACCGGCUAACUUCGUGCCAGCCGCCGCCGUAAAAC